rnacentral:rRNA from 1 species
AAUAGAUACCCGGGUAGUCCACGCCGUAAACGAUGAGUGCUAAGUGUUAGAGGGUUUCCGCCCUUUAGUGCUGCAGCUAACGCAUUAAGCACUCCGCCUGGGGAGUACGGCCGCAAGGCUGAAACUCAAAGGAAUUGACGGGGGCCCGCACAAGCGGUGGAGCAUGUGGCUUAAUUCGAAGCAACGCGAAGAACCUUACCAGGUCUUGACAUCCUCUGCCAACCCUAGAGAUAGGGUGUUCCCCUUCGGGGGACAGAGUGACAGGUGGUGCAUGGUUGUCGUCAGCUCGUGUCGUGAGAUGUUGGGUUAAGUCCCGCAACGAGCGCAACCCUUGAUCUUAGUUGCCAGCAUUUAGUUGGGCACUCUAAGGUGACUGCCGGUGACAAACCGGAGGAAGGUGGGGAUGACGUCAAAUCAUCAUGCCCCUUAUGACCUGGGCUACACACGUGCUACAAUGGAUGGUACAAAGAGCUGCGAACCCGCGAGGGUAAGCCAAUCUCAUAAAGCCAUUCUCAGUUCGGA